rnacentral:rRNA from 1 species
UACGUAGGGUGCGGGCGUUAAUCGGAAUUACUGGGCGUAAAGCGUGCGCAGGCGGUUUGCUAAGACAGGUGUGAAAUCCCCGGGCUUAACCUGGGAACUGCGCUUGUAACUGGCAAGCUGGAGUGUGGCAGAGGGGGGUGGAAUUCCACGUGUAGCAGUGAAAUGCGUAGAGAUGUGGAGGAACACCGAUGGCGAAGGCAGCCCCCUGGGCUAACACUGACGCUCAUGCACGAAAGCGUGGGGAGCAAACAGG